ensembl:lncRNA
UUAAAGUGUCUUGAACUUUAAAAAUGCAACACCAAACAUCGGUGAAAAUACAGCAGUGUGUGAGUGUGACAAUAUUCAUUAUGUUUAAUUAAAGCCUCACCUCACCUCCACACGCACCUGACAAUGACAUCCUAGGGCUGUUAUCCCGCAGCCCAAUGACUGUUUAACGGGACACAUCUAUAAUUCAGCAUAAACCUGCCCUGCAGAGUCACAGUCAUACAAACAGUUAUUGUGUUGAGAGGAAGCUCAGGUCAAGGGUCUCCUGGAUGCUCAUUAAGCAGGCUUCAAUUGUGUAUGGGUCAAGUCUGUGCUGAGAUUCGAACGAACAUUACUUUUAAUAUUAAUUCAAAACAUCUUCCAAAUAAAUCAUGCGGCUGUCAGACAAAAUCAGCCUCUUGAGGAAAUGUAAAUGUGUUAUUACUUCGCAAACUUUCACAACAAGAUUGCUGUCAUAUUACUGCACAGUAAUAUUGCUAUUAGAAAUACUAAAAAUAGUAUUUUACAUUAAAGUACAUCAAAGUCUAAUAGUGAUUUGAUCAAAUUAGUUGGUUCAAACGGCACGCUGAGAACAGAGGAACACUGAGGCUUUUCUCUAACACCCACACACAUCGAUUCAAGCUGGACUGAUGGAUUGUGGGAAGGUUCUCACCAUUUCCUCUCUGAUCACGCCCCAUCAGCCUUUGCAUUACGACCUCCGGUCUGGGCGAGUGUGUGGGUGGACGUCUGCCCUUGUCUCUGAAGCGAUCGUCCUCUCUUGCCCCUCUAUCUAUCCGUCUAUCUCUGGCUUAUCUUUGUUCUCCAGGGAAAGUCUUUUUUGUCCGUUUAGGGUGGCAUUAUUCAGUAGGAGCCUACAAAUAUGACAACACCUGUUUAUUAGACAUUUUUCAAGGACUGAUUGUCAUGACAUCACUAGGGUUUUAAUUAGCUGUCACACUUGGUUUAUGGUGCAAUCAUGUGUAGUGCCCAGAUACCUCAUGGAUGGACUGUGUCUCAUUGAGCGUUUGCAGUUUCAUUGAGAGUAUGUAAAGUGAUCGAUUGCCAUUAUAAAAUGGAUACUUCCGUCUGUAAAACCUGAUUAAAUGCAGUCUCUGCUGUGCAUUGUGAAUAUGAACAUCCGUUAAAUAUGGUAAAACCACUGUAAUGCAUGCAGUUCCAGCCAUGUUCAGUUUAGUGCUGCUAAUGACCUUUGACCUGCAGAUCGUCCAGCUCAAGUGUUUCAUUCCAACAGGGUUUUACAGUAUUCCAAUUCACUGAGUUUCAACUGAGGUUUCAAAAUUCAAAUUUGAACUAAAUGAACUGAAAUUCAAAGAAAUUUGUGUAACUAAAACACCAAGUUUGUCAAGUUUUGAAAAAUUAUAUUUAAAAAAAAAUUAAAUGGAUGGAUGAAUGAAUGGAUGGAUAGAAUGAUAGAAUGACGGAUAGACAGAAAGACAGACAGACAGAUAGAAAGAAUGAUAGAUGGAUUGAUGGAUGGAUGACAGAAUGAUAGAAUUAUAGGUGAAUGGAUGGAUGGACAGAAUGACAGAAUGAGGGAUGGGUGAAUGGAUAAAUGGAUGAAUGGAUAGAUGGAUGGAUGGAUGGAUGGAUGGAUGGAUGACAAUGAUAGAACAACAGGUGGAUGGAAGGAUGGAUGGACAAAUGGAUGGAUGACAGAAUGAUAGAACGAUAGGUGGAUGGAUGGAUAGAUAGAACAAAAGGUGGAUGGAAGGAUGGAUGACAGAAUGAUAGGUGGAUGAAUAAAUGACAGCAAUGGAUGGAUUGAUGGAUGACAGAAUGAUAGAACGAUAGGUGGAUGGAUGGAUGGAUGGAUGGAUGAUAGAAUGAUAGGUGGAUGGACAGAACGAAAGGUGAAUGGAUAGAAUGAUAGAUUUUCAUUUAUUGGGCUGAACCGCACAAACCCGCCUUAUCUGGCUGACAGACGAGGAGCUUGACAGUAACAGUCUGAUCUUAAUCAAUAGCCAUUGAUUUCCCACUUAUCUCAGCCACACAUGGGUCGAUGCAUCGGCCGGCGGUCCCACUGCAGAAUGCCAUAAUGGAGGCCAGCUCGGGAAUUACACGCUUCUUCAGAGUCCACGCCAUUGAACUCUGCUCCCAUUUCACUCCCAGUCGAGGGACAGCUAAUUAAAUGUUAUCAUCUUUGUUCGAGUAAAGCACAAGACAUCGAUAACACGCUCAGAAUGGAUUCUUAUUUAGCAUCAGAUGAUGGAUUCAUAAGAGGAAUUAUGGGAGGAAGUCAGCGGGACAAUGAUCCUACCUUAAUGCCUCAAUAGGAAAGGCUUAUUUAAAUCUAUUUUGUAAUAUAGCAUAACAUGAAUAAAUAACAAGCUUCCGAUGUUUUUAUGUCCACAAGGCACCGGGAGAAACAGCAGAUUGUAGAAAUGUUAUUUAAUGCUGGACCCCGUAUUUAUAUCAGUUCCAUCAUCAUCAUUGUUUCUCCAUCUGGAGACGGUCUAACACAAACAAGUGAACAGAAAAAGCAUCAAUUAUUAAACUGACAUCAUUUCUUUCCCUAUCAAAGAAUCAAUAUGUGCAAUAGUAGUCUUUUCUUUCUCCAGCUCCAUGGUAACUUACUAUUUAUAGCUCGCUGAAGACCAGUAUUAUGGAGCAUUCGCCCCGAGUGCCGCUUUACGCCUUUUUCACACUAAUUUUCCAUCUAUUUAGAGAGCAUUGCUAUCUGCACUACUUCUAAUGCUGUUUCCAUGGUUAAAUUAAUGGACAAGCGAAAAAUAUGCAUCAUUUCAUUAAGUAACGCCAUCU